GACGAACGCUGGCGGCGUGCUUAACACAUGCAAGUCGAGCGGAAAGGCCCUGCUUGCAGGGUACUCGAGUGGCGAACGGGUGAGUAACACGUGGGUGAUCUGCCCUGCACUUCGGGAUAAGCCUGGGAAACUGGGUCUAAUACCGGAUAGGAGCCAUUUUUAGUGUGAUGGUUGGAAAGUUUUUUCGGUGUAGGAUGAGCUCGCGGCCUAUCAGCUUGUUGGUGGGGUAAUGGCCUACCAAGGCGGCGACGGGUAGCCGGCCUGAGAGGGUGGACGGCCACAUUGGGACUGAGAUACGGCCCAGACUCCUACGGGAGGCAGCAGUGGGGAAUAUUGCACAAUGGGCGCAAGCCUGAUGCAGCGACGCCGCGUGGGGGAUGACGGCCUUCGGGUUGGAAACUCCUUUCGCUAGGGACGAAGCUUUUUGUGACGGUACCUAGAUAAGAAGCACCGGCUAACUACGUG
rnacentral:rRNA from 1 species